rnacentral:rRNA from 1 species
GUAGUCAUAUGCUUGUCUAAGUAUAAGCAAUAUAUACAGGGAAACUGGGAAUGGCUCAUUAAAUCAGUUAUCGUUUAUUUGAUAGUACCUUACUACUUGGAUAACCGUGGUAAUUCUAGAGUUAAUACAUGCUAAAAAUCCCGACCUGGGGAAGGGAUGUAUUUAUUAGAUAAAAAACCAAUGUCUUCGGACUCCUUGGUGAUUCAUGAUAACUUUACGAAUCGCAUGGCCUUGCGCCGGCGAUGGUUCAUUCAAAUUUCUGCCCUAUCAACUUUCGAUGGUAGGAUAGUGGCCUACCAUGGUUUCAACGGGUAACGGGGAAU